rnacentral:rRNA from 1 species
UACGUAGGGGGCAAGCGUUGUCCAGAAUCAUUGGGCGUAAAGAGCGUGUAGGCGGCUCGGUAAGCCCGCUGUGAAAGUCCAGGGCUCAACCCUGGAAUGCCGGUGGAAACUGUCGAGCUAGAGUCCGGAAGAGGCGAGUGGAAUUCCUGGUGUAGCGGUGAAAUGCGCAGAUAUCAGGAGGAACACCAAUGGCGAAGGCAGCUCGCUGGGACGGUACUGACGCUGAGACGCGAAAGCGUGGGGAGCAAACAGG